AGUGAACGCUGGCGGUAGGCCUAACACAUGCAAGUCGAACGGAAGCACAGUAAGAGCUUGCUCUUACGGGUGGCGAGUGGCGGACGGGUGAGGAAUACAUCGGAAUCUACUUUUUCGCGGGGGAUAACGUAGGGAAACUUACGCUAAUACCGCAUACGACCUACGGGAGAAAGCAGGGGAUCUUCGGACCUUGCGCGAUUGAAGGAGCCGAAGUCGGAUUAGCUAGUUGGCGGGGUAAAGGCCCACCAAGGCGACGAUCCGUAGCUGGACUGAGAGGUUGAUCGGCCACACUGGAACUGAGACACGGUCCAGACUCCUACGGGAGGCAGCAGUGGGGAAUAUUGGACAAUGGGCGCAAGCCUGAUCCAGCCAUACCGCGUGGGUGAAGAAGGCCUUCGGGUUGUAAAGCCCUUUUGUUGGGAAAGAAAAGCAGCAGGUUAAUACCCCGCUGUUCUGACGGUACCCAAAGAAUAAGCACCGGCUAACUUCGUG
rnacentral:rRNA from 1 species